rnacentral:rRNA from 1 species
UACGUAGGGGGCAAGCGUUGUCCGGAAUCAUUGGGCGUAAAGCGCGUGUAGGCGGCCUGGAAAGUCUGGUGUGAAAUCUUGGGGCUCAACCCCAAGCUGUCACUGGAUACUGUCAGGCUCGAGUCCGGAAGAGGAGUGUGGAAUUCCUGGUGUAGCGGUGGAAUGCGCAGAUAUCAGGAGGAACACCUGCGGUGUAGACGGCUUACUGGACCAUAACUGACGCUGAGGCACGAAAAGCGUGGGGAGCGAACAGG